rnacentral:misc_RNA from 1 species
CCGAGUUUACAACUCCCAAACCCCCUGUGAACUUAUACCAUUUACUGUUGCUUCGGCGGGUCAUGGCCCCGGGGAAGGACAGCGGUCGCCGUCAGGCCUCAGCUGCCCGCCCCCGGAAACAGGCGCCCGCCGGGGAACUCAAACUCUUGUUUUAUACAGUAUCUUCUGAGUAACACGAUUAAAUAAAUCA